rnacentral:misc_RNA from 1 species
AAGAGUUCUGUAACUCUCCAAACCAUUUGUUUACCUACCUGUUUCGUUGCUUCGGCAGGCGGCCCCUCGGGGCCCUCGCCUACUGUAGGCGCCUGCCGGAGUAUCCAAAACUCUUGUUAAUUACUGUUCUGUCUGAGUAAGCUUUUAAUAAGUUA